CAAUUGAUUUUCAAAUGAAGCAGAGGCCUUGUUCCAGCUCCAGUAGACACCUGAUUUUGUUAGGCUUGGAUCACUCACAACCUGUACAAGGUUAAAACAGUUCAAAUAUGAGACACAAGGACUCUUCAAACGCUCAUUCCAACCAAAAAAGUAUAUAACCAUCUCCAUAGUCUCUUAUUGGUAAUUUCUACUACCUGUGCAAGCCGCUUUCCCGAUUCAUCUUCGGAGACAAAGCCCUUGGUUAUGAACUUUUGGAAUGGAGGGAAGAGAAGUCUGAAUAAGGGAAUGUGUUCUCUGAACAAGCCUGUUGUGGCAAUGCAACCCGGGUAGAGGGAAGCAAAUGUGAUUCCAGUUUCUUCAUGGUAUCUUCUGUGAAAUUCUUGCAUGGUAAGCAUAUUGCAGACUUUGCUGUCCUUGUACGCCUUGGC
rnacentral:lncRNA from 1 species